UGACUNGAGUGCAGAAGGGGAGAGUGGAAUUCCAUGUGUAGCGGUGAAAUGCGUAGAUAUAUGGAGGAACACCAGUGGCGAAAGCGGCUCUCUGGUCUGUCACUGACGCUGAGGCUCGAAAGCGUGGGUAGCGAACAGGAUUAGAUACCNUGGUAGUCCACGCCGUAAACGAUGAGUGCUAGGUGUUAGGCCCUUUCCGGGGCUUAGUGCCGGAGCUAACGCAAUAAGCACUCCGCCUGGGGAGUACGACCGCAAGGUUGAAACUCAAAGGAAUUGACGGGGGCCCGCACAAGCGGUGGAGCAUGUGGUUUAAUUCGAAGCAACGCGAAGAACCUUACCAGGUCUUGACAUCCCGAUGCUAUUCUUAGAGAUAGGAAGUUACUUCGGUACAUCGGAGACAGGUGGUGCAUGGUUGUCGUCAGCCCGUGUCGUGAGAUGUUGGGCUAAGUCCCGCAACGAGCGCAACCCUUAUUGUUAGUUGCCAUCAUUAAGUUGGGCACUCUAGCGAGACUGCCGGUAAUAAACCGGAGGAAGGUGGGGACGACGUCAAAUCAUCAUGCCCCUUAUGACCUGGGCUACACACGUGCUACAAUGGUCGGUACAACGAGUUGCGAGCCGGUGACGGCAAGCUAAUCUCUGAAAGCCGAUCUCAGUUCGGAUUGGAGGCUGCAACUCGCCUCCAUGAAGUCGGAAUCGCUAGUAAUCGCGGAUCAGCACGCCGCGGUGAAUACGUUCCCGGGCCUUGUACAC
rnacentral:rRNA from 1 species